GAAAAUGGAAAUAAAGGGGAAUCUUCUGGAAAUUCGGCAUCGGGCUGUCACAACGAGGUUCUUUUUUCGUUUGCUAUUUCCUACUAAGAUGACACUAAUUUUUUACAUAGUUUAAAAUAAUUCGAGCAUUAUGAUUUUAAGAACUCACGGGAUUUGGAAAAUAGGCAAAUUUGAAAAAAACGUUGAUUUCAGAAAAAGUUCAUGAAUGAAGAAAAAAGGAAAUAAUGAAAACAAAAUAAAAAGAAAAAU
rnacentral:lncRNA from 1 species